rnacentral:rRNA from 1 species
AUUGAACGCUGGCGGCAGGCCUAACACAUGCAAGUCGAGCGGAUGAAGGGAGCUUGCUCCUGGAUUCAGCGGCGGACGGGUGAGUAAUGCCUAGGAAUCUGCCUGGUAGUGGGGGAUAACGUCCGGAAACGGGCGCUAAUACCGCAUACGUCCUGAGGGAGAAAGUGGGGGAUCUUCGGACCUCACGCUAUCAGAUGAGCCUAGGUCGGACUAGCUAGUUGGUGGGGUAAAGGCCUACCAAGGCGACGAUCCGUAACUGGUCUGAGAGGAUGAUCAGUCACACUGGAACUGAGACACGGUCCAGACUCCUACGGGAGGCAGCAGUGGGGAAUAUUGGACAAUGGGCGAAAGCCUGAUCCAGCCAUGCCGCGUGUGUGAAGAAGGUCUUCGGAUUGUAAAGCACUUUAAGUUGGGAGGAAGGGCAGUAAGUUAAUACCUUGCUGUCUUGACGUUACCAACAGAAUAAGCACCGGCUAACUUCGUG